rnacentral:rRNA from 1 species
UACGUAGGGUGCAAGCGUUGUCCGGAAUUAUUGGGCGUAAAGCGCGCGCAGGCGGUCAUGUAAGUCUGGUGUUUAAUCCCGGGGCUCAACCCCGGAUCGCACUGGAAACUGUGUGACUUGAGUGCAGAAGAGGAGAGUGGAAUUCCACGUGUAGCGGUGAAAUGCGUAGAGAUGUGGAGGAACACCAGUGGCGAAGGCGACUCUCUGGGCUGUAACUGACGCUGAGGCGCGAAAGCGUGGGGAGCAAACAGG